UACAGAGGUCUCAAGCGUUGUUCGGAUUCAUUGGGCGUAAAGGGUGCGCAGGUGGGCUGGUAAGUUCGAUGUGAAAGCCCCGGGCUUAACCCGGGAAUGGCAUUGGAUACUACUGGUCUGGAGGAUUGGAGGGGGGACUGGAAUUCUUGGUGUAGCAGUGAAAUGCGUAGAUAUCAAGAGGAACACCAGUGGCGAAGGCGAGUCCCUGGACAAUACCUGACACUGAGGCACGAAAGCCAAGGGAGCAAACAGG
rnacentral:rRNA from 1 species